ACUGCUGUAGCUUGUGUUGGGGGAGCUUGUGUUGAGGAAGCAGCAGCUCAUGUAUGUGAAGAAGUGCUCAUCACUCCUUCCCCCACCUCCCUGCCUUACCCCAUUGCCCAGGGUGCCAAAAUGAUAAGUUAUGCCACUAGUGAACCCCUUCGUAAGGUUAGGACUGAGCCUGUGUUAUGUUACCAGAUCACAACACCUGACUGCCCUACUACAAUAGCCAGGCCUUCCUCUUAGCAAGUGGGAAUGAGCAGGGAGAGGAGCAGUGUUUUGCCCCCUCAUCGCUACCAUGUGCCAACCAAACAGAUUCUGAACAUGUCAGUGAAUGUAAAGUGAAGUUUUUAAAAAUGCUCCUGUUUUAUUUUUUUAUACAAACUAAAACACCAGAGGUCAUUGAAUCCUAUAUUAAAUACAUAAAUUAAAAAAUAACCAUUCAUAAAACUUUACAUACAGUAAGGAUUCUCAUCUACACGUUAAUACAUAUAAUACAUAUACAUGUUCAGUGUUUAUCAAAGGGUCAUUCUGCCAAUUCAUUUACAGUUCUUUUAGGGAAGAGACACAAAAAUGGGAGCAAAAUAUGUACAGGUGCUGAUGCAAAGGAGAAAAGGAAACCCUACUGGGUCGCCAAAGGCUAGGAGGCUCUUUAAUGAACCCAGCCUCAGUGAGAAUGAAGGCCUGGCCAGUUCAGUUCACAAGAGAAUCAGUUGAACUGAAAAUUUGGUGGUUCAGAGGAUCUUCCCACUAUGAUUACGAUGGAAGGUUUAGCACAUACAUCUCUAGGCAUUUCAAAAUGCGAUCUCAGAACUGUGACCCCUGCUGACAUUAAUACUGCUGACCUGUGCACAAUAGCUUAUUGCCCUUUGGAAACCCUGUGUUUGCCAUGCCAAAAGGCUAGCAAAUAGUCAUGACUGUUUUUUUUUUGGCUGUUCUACAAGGCUAAUUUGAGAGACGAUUCUCAAUACUCUGCUUCAGUGGACUUCAGGAACAACACAGAAAAAGCAGGAAAAAUGCUGCAGGACAGUGAUCAAAGAAAGAAAAAGCAUCACAUAGGCAAUGGAAUGAAAAACUAAACCACGAGGGGUUUAUCAGUUGUGUCAUUUGAACAACCCUUGGCCCAAGUCAUCAUUUCUAGGAUUGGAAGUACACUUUUAUAAGCUAUAACAACAAACUACUAUAUACAUCAGGGGUAGAGAUAUAUAUAUAUGUGUGUGUGUGUAUAUAUAUAUGCACAACAUACAUAUAUAUAUAUAUAGAUGGGUAUGUGUGUGUGUGUGUGUGUCUGUGUAUUAAAAGCUGAACUGAUUUUGAUCUGGCUCACCGUAGAAAGAUUGUAUACUUGAUGUCAAUGGGUGGGUAUUAGGCACAGUUUGUUACAGAGGUGUGAAACAGCUGUUGUUUUUCAGGCUGCUGGAGGAAAUCUAGCAGUCCAUUGCAAGGGGUCUCUCACAGGACAUUUACAAUCCACAGAGAGAUGAUGAUGGAUUGUUUAACUCAUCCAGAGGCCUAUCAAAAGGAGUGUGUGUGUGUGUGUGUGUGUGUGUGUGUGUUUGGUACAGAGAGAGAGAGAGAGAGAGAG